rnacentral:lncRNA from 1 species
CCGAUUUGAAAGUAUUGAAAUUUUUAUAUUAAAAUGGUUCAUUUUCAUAGGUGUAUGAGAGUGCAGGUUCAUAGUUAUCAAUCGUCUUUGACAGCUUCAUGACCUCAAUUGUGAAUCUUACUGUCCAAAAGUUAUUGGAUAUCACUUGGAAAAGAGUGAUGAAACGGUAUCUGUGGCAUCGAGAAGUCUUGUUAGCUGGAUUCUCAAAGGGUGAAGGGAUGCUGAUAAGCUGACAGCGACAAGGAUGUUUUAUCCACAGCAACGAGUUAUCAACAGAGAAUUAGUUAUCAGAUGAUAUCGUCAAAAAAAAAGAUGAUAAAGACGUAAAGUUUGUGGAACUAAUGUAUCAUAUAUGUCCUAGGCUCAGUAGCCUGAAACCAUAAAUGCAUCCAACCUGUUCUGCUAUUUGUGUAAGCUCGAGAUAUUAUUCAUUGUAGUAAAAAUCCCCAAUUUUUAGGGAUUUUUGAUGAAUCUGAAAUAAGAAAAUAGACAAAUAAUUAAUUAGAUCGAAAAUAAUAACAAUAACGACAAAUGAUGAUAAUGAAAAUAUUAGAGAAUUCAUAUAAGCAAAUUUUAAUUCAACGCAAACAAUAACAACAAAAAGUGGCCAGCUAUUUAGAUGUGGAGUAUGUAAAUUUGAAAAUUAAAAUAUUAAAGAACUCAUAUUUGAAUUUUUNNNNNNNNNNNNNNNNNNNNNNNNUAAAAAAGAUCGACAAAAGAGAUAAAAAUUUGAGAAAAGAAUUCAAAAGUAACAAAAUACAAACCCUGAAAAACAUAGUAGAGAGCAUAAUCUCUUACGAUCUCAUAAAAUAACAAUAACAAUCUACUGCUUUCAACAUACCCAAUCCCAAACACAUCCCAAAGUGAGGGAACUCUGUUACAUCCCAAACAUAGUCCCAAAAUACUCCAAAAAACCAUCAGUCAAUCUCAUAGCUCGUAUAAAAAACAAAGUUGUUCAACUUAAUUUGCUUAUCUGAAAAAAGAAAAGACCUUAGUUAUCUCGACGGAGAGUAGAUCCUCUAAUUUGAUGUCGCAAUAGCAAGAUUCAAAACUUCAAUCAUUCCUUGUGCUGCUUUAAUGACUGUUACCAACAAAAAAACAUAUCUGAAAAAUGAAAAAAGAAGGGAGAGGAAGGAACAAAAAACAGAUUUGG